rnacentral:tmRNA from 1 species
GGGCUUGUAAUGGUUUCGACAGGGAUCAUGAAGCUGGAGAAGCGAGUCGCACGGGAUGCGUCAAAUUCCAAAAUUAAAAUUAAACGCUGAAGAUAAUUUAGCAUACGCUGCCUAAUGGCAGCAGUCUGACCUAGAGCACUCACACUUUAGGACCCAGGCUUCGACUAUGGAACUGUGCCUACGCAGGUCUGGCAGAGGGAAUGUUAAAACAUAGGAUACGCUCGUAGAAGGACAGGGGAUUGGUUUUUGGACACGGGUUCGACUCCCGUCAGGUCCACUC